rnacentral:tRNA from 2 species
GGGGAUGUAGCUCAGCUGGCUAGAGCGCUUGACUGGCAGUCAAGAGGUCGUCGGUUCGAGUCCGAUCUUCUCCACCA